AGAGAAUGUGCCCCCCCCAUCGAGCUUAGUUAGAUGUGAUCCACUGGUUGAACUGGAAGUGGUGGGGUGAUGGCUUUUCAGACCAUUUUCUCAGCUUACUCUCCUCAUUUGCAAAAUUAGAAGUUUACCGUUAUUGUGAGUACAACUGGAAGGUGCUCAUUUUUAUUUUAUUUUAAAAAUUUUUUUAUUUUUUUGCUUUUUAGGGCCGCACCUGCAGCACAUGGAGGUUCCCAGGCUCGGGGUGGAAUCGGAGCUGCAGCUGGCAGCCACAGCCACAGCCACAACUUAGUAUCCAAGCCCAGUCUGCGACCUACACCACGGCUCAUGGCAACACCGGAUCUUUAACCCACUGAGCAAGGCCAGGGAUUGAAACUGCAUCCUUGUGGAUGCUAGUCAGGUGGUAGUCAGGUUUGUCACCACUUAGCCACGCUGGGAACUCCUGAUGGGUUUUAUUUUUAAAUACAAAAUAAAGACUUGGAGUUUCUGGAGUUCCCACUCUGGCUCAGCGGGUUAAGAACCCAACUAGUAUCCAUGAAGAUGUGGGUUCGGUCACUGCCCUCACUCAGUGGGUUGAGGAUCUAGUGUUGCUGCAAGCUGUGGUGUAGGCCAACAGCUUGCAGCUCCGAUUCCACCCCCGGCCUGGUGAUGGCUCCCAACUAACUUUUUCUUUUCUUUUUUAAAGGAAAUGGUACUUUGAUGACAUUCAACCUGUUAAUUAUAGCAGCUGUGCUGUUUUCUAUAUUGUAAAAAAAAAAAAAUAAAAAAGUCUGAUUCAAAUUCAGAUUCUUGUCUUUUGGUCAGCUCUUCCUUAGAGGAGAUUGCUGAGAGGAUUAACCUUUAGUUGGGGAGAUUGGUAGGAUAGUCCUCAGCCCUAGGAAUAGUGUAGAAUUGGGUGUGAACCUGGGCUUUCCUCUGUCUUCUCCAAAAUCAGGCUUUUGGCACUUCUCCUUUUGUUUUUUUGUUUUUUGUCUUUGGUCCUUUUAGGGCCACACCUGUGGCAUAUGGAGGGUCCCAGGCUAGGGGUCUAAUCAGAGCUGAAGCUGCUGGCCUACACCACAGCCACGGCAGUGCCAGAUCCACGCCAUGUCCGAGACCUACACCACAAUUUACGGCAAUGCCGGAUCCUCAACCCAGUGAGCAAGGCCAGGAAUCGAACCUACAACCUCAUGGUUCCUAGUCGGAUUUGUUAACCACUGUGCCAUGACGGGAACUCCGCCCUUUUGUUUUUUAUCAGAUACUGUAAUGGCCAAGGGAAACAAGCAAGCAAAAAAGCCAAACCCCAAACUCUCCUACUCCUUGCCUCAGAUCCCUUCCCCCAGAAGCUGUACUCAACCACUACUAAUAAAAUGGCAAAAUAAGGUCUUCGAAGGGUAGCAUUCCGUGUCCUUUGGAAUUAAUUUGUGGGCUAUCAGACAACUCAUUCAGAACUACAUGUAGAGGAUUAUAUAUCUUUUGUGAUUGUUCAAAAAAAGAAUUUUAGUGGCCAGGCAUUAGCAAUAUAGAGCUGAAAAGAGAGGUUCUGUGCUUUAAAGUUCACAGAGUAGUCUGGCGGGGGGGACAGGCUCACUGGUAAAUUCUGUUUUAGGGUCGUGGUUCCUGUGCCAAGCGUGAACAGUGUCGUCGAGAACUUUCAUUCAUUCAUUCAGCAAGUAGCUGUUGAAUGGCUACCGCGUACCAGGCACUGAGUCUGGCGUGGAGAGCAGAAACAGGCAUUGUCCCUCCUUCCAGGGCGCUUGCUGUCGAGUCAGAUAGGCACAGUAAGGCGCGUGUCAUCCCAGACUGAGGACCGUCCAGAAGGAAGGGCGCGCACACAGCCUGUGCCCAGCCUGUGCGCCGACUCCGUGGCUGGAGCCGGGUGUGGGCCGCCCGGGAGACUCAGAGAAGGCUCAGGGUGGAGGUGGGGGAUGGCCACCUCCCCUUGGGGAAGCGUGGAAGGGGACGUGUUGCCCUUGGAGCUCAGACUCUGCCUGCCCUGCAGACCCGAGCCCAGCAGGGGAAGCUUGGGCGGGUGCGGCGGAGCUGGGGUAAAGUGGCAUGGUCCCGGAGAUACUUAGAUUGAAAAGAGGAGCGCCAGGGACGCUGGGGAGAUGGCUCUUCUAGGAAAGGGGACAUUUGGGCAGAGGAGCACAAGAACAUGGUGUGUGGGGGACACGGGCCGAGGGACAAAGUCUCCCAGCCUGCAGCCUGUUUGGGAACCUGAGCUCGAUGAGUGACUGCUUGAUGUAUAGGAUGAAGCAGGGUUCAGGAGUCAGGAGCGCUGAAGGGCCUUGAUAGUCCAGCCGCAGAUGGUGUUUGGUCUUGUGAGCAGGUGGUGUCUGGGAAGCCGCGGCUUGGCGUCCCUCCCCGUGUUAGCACUGCUGAGUGCAGCCGUGCUGCGGGGCCCUGAUGGGGGUCCUACACGGCUUGGCACGGGUUUCACGCUUCCGGCUCUUGUCCAGAGCUGAGGAUGGCCUCUCUGCUCGCCUUAGCACCCCAAGCAUCUUAAACCCCAGACUUUGAGCGGGAAGGGAGGAAGCAGGACAUCCUUUUGGGGUCAUCUGAGGUGGAUUAACGCAAGGCAGAUAGCCCUUGAGUGUCCUUAGGUGUGAUUGGAUAGAGUCGUUGGGGCAAGUCGUUUGGGACGUGAUUCCCUUUAUUUUUUAGGGCGAGGCGCCUUUAAACACAAGCUUCGUCCCUUUAUUAUACUCCUAGAAAAUAGAGAAAAUACUAAGAAAAACAUUACCUGUGAUCUCUCAUGACUCUGAGGUAACGUGUUAAUAUUCUGAAAUACUUCCUUUUGGGGCUUUUUGUAGUAAAUUUUAGACAUUUGGGGUCAUUUUAUUUAUAUAUUUUUGGCUGGGCCCAUGGCAUGUGGAAGUUCCCAGGCCAGGGAUCACCUGUGCCUCAGCGUUGACCUGAGCCACAGCAGUGACAAGGCCCAGGCCUUAGCCUGCCUGCUGUGACAGAUGCCUGUCUAGUAGUGUUUCUGAAGCUGUGCUCCUUGGCCAUGGUCCUCUUUCAUCUGAACCACCUGGUGCCCUGAUGGCCCUGCAGACACACUAAGUGGGGUCUCUAACUAGGCCCCCAAACCUCAGCUCUCUCAGGUCCCUCAGCCCAAGCAGGUGUCCGAGCCUCCACACAGCUUUUCCCCUUAACCCACUGAGCACCUCCUUUGAAUAGGAUUAAUUAAAUCAUAUUUUGGACAUUUCAAAACUUUUCCAGUCUAGGUUAGGUCUGAACAGAAACAAAAGAUACAGGCUUGGAAGUUCCCAUUGUGGCUCAGUGGUAACGAGCCCAACUAAAAUCCAUGAGAUUGCGGGUUCGAUCCCUGCCCCCGCUCAGUGGGUUAAGGAUCUGGCGUUGCCGUGAGCUGUGGUGUGGGUCACUGACUCGCCUCAGACCUGUGUUGCUGUGGCUGUGGUGUAGGCCGGCAGCUGCAGCUCCGAUUCGACCGGAGUGAACCAUGGGAAUACAACCAACUGAGGAGUCUUCAAAUGUUGCCACUUUGAGGACCCUGGGGCACUGGGUCUUCAGAAUGAGAGUUCAGUUUUGCUUGAAGUUCAUUCACCAACUGAUUGACUAAUUCCUUCUCAACAUUUAUCCUGUUUUUGCUGAGCCCUGUGUUGGGGUUUGUGGAUUGCAAAACACCAUUACACAAAAUCUGUAAGUACAAAUAGCCUCUUCCCCAAAGCCAUGAGAAACUGCUGCACUCCCAGUCCUGAAACAGGACCCUAGUGGGGGCUGGGGAGCAGCGCAGAAUCCACCAAAGCUCCCUGUACCCGUGAUCAUCUGAUGCCCCCCGAGCGCUGGAAUGAGCUUCCUAGGUUGCCUCGAGGCCUGGCUGUGGGCAGGACGUCCUUGGGGAUGUGUGCACCAGCAAUAAGCCAGUUUGCUUCAGAAAUUCAAAAAAACCUUUUUUUGUUACUGGUCAUGGGUUUGUCAGUUUAGGGUAUUCUUGUCUCCAGUUUUGCAUGAACUGGUGCUAAAAUAAUCACUCUUGGUUGCAUCUUGGUUCUCAUGAAUCCUUGGCUUUUCCAUGCCAUUCUGCACAGUGUGUGGGGGGGUGCCAGCAGCAUGAACUUUUUCGUCUAUGACAGGGUUUUGUUCCAUGAGAAAGAAAUGAGAUAGCUUUUUAAAACUUUUUUUUUUUUCUAACAAAGGACUAUUAUGUGAACAGGUUUAAUGUAACAUGAAAUGCCAAAGAUUAGAACCAUUAAUAAAGUGUCUAAUUCUUAUUUCAAC
ensembl:lncRNA